ACGGGAGGCAGCAGUGGGGAAUAUUGCACAAUGGGGGAAACCCUGAUGCAGCGACGCCGCGUGAGUGAAGAAGUAUUUCGGUAUGUAAAGCUCUAUCAGCAGGGAAGAAAAUGACGGUACCUGACUAAGAAGCCCCGGCUAACUACGUGCCAGCAGCCGCGGUAAUACGUAGGGGGCAAGCGUUAUCCGGAUUUACUGGGUGUAAAGGGAGCGUAGGCGGCUGUGCAAGUCAGAAGUGAAAACCCGGGGCUCAACCUCGGGACUGCUUUUGAAACUGUAUAGCUAGAGUGCAGAAGAGGCAAGCGGAAUUCCUAGUGUAGCGGUGAAAUGCGUAGAUAUUAGGAAGAACACCGGUGGCGAAGGCGGCUUGCUGGGCUGAGACUGACGCUGAGGCUCGAAAGCGUGGGGAGCAAACAGGAUUAGAUACCCUGGUA
rnacentral:rRNA from 1 species